UCGGGAGUAAAGUUUUGUUUAAACCGAAAAAAUAUUGACUGACUUUAGAUUUUUCUUUGGAAUAUGUGUUUUUUUGGAGAGCCCUCUUUUAUAGUGAAUUUUGUUGGCGCAUGUAUGAUUGUUUAGUUUUUACUUUUUUGGUAAUGCUUUGUGUUUUAUACAUUUAAAACAGAUAUAUAUUUGGCU
rnacentral:rRNA from 1 species